rnacentral:rRNA from 1 species
UACGUAGGCAGCAAGCGUUGUUCGGAGUUACUGGGCGUAAAGAGUGCGUAGGCGGUCCUGUAAGUUUGGUGUGAAAUCUCCCGGCCCAACUGGGAGGGUGCGCCGAAGACUGCAGGGCUUGAGUAUGGGAGAGGUAAGCGGAAUUCCUGGUGUAGCGGUGAAAUGCGUAGAUAUCAGGAGGAACACCUGUGGUGUAGACAGCUUACUGGACCAUAACUGACGCUGAGGCACGAAAGCGUGGGUAGCAAACAGG